GCCACAGACAAACAUGGUAUCAGUGCUUUGUUAGCAGCCAUAUGGGAAGGCCAUACUUCUUGUGUGAAACUCAUGUUAGAAAAGGGUGCCAACAAGUGUGGAACCACACCAGAUGGCACCAGUUAUCUUGAUGCAGCUGAGAAACAAGAAAUAAAGGACUUAUUAAAAUAGAAUUAACUUUUAUCUCUAAUGAAAGGAGAGAAGUGUGGGUUUGAGGUAUAUAUAUAUAUACAUAUGUUUAUAUACUCCAUUAUAUAUCUUCUCUGCUAUCGGCAACAUCUUCUGAUGCAAUAUAUAUAUAUAUAUAUGUAAACAUUAUCAUUCUUUUUCGUAGUAGUCAUGGGGCCAAUCAUGCCCAAAAAUUAACCUAGUUGGUUAUAAAAUUUUGAUGAUUUUUUUAUGGUAGAAUAAAAGUUGCUUUUGAGAAGCGAUUUUAA